GCAGUCGAGCGGCAGCGCGGGGCAACCUGGCGGCGAGCGGCGAACGGGUGAGUAAUAUAUCGGAACGUAUCCUUAAGUGGGGGACAACCUAGCGAAAGUUAGGCUAAUACCGCAUACGCAGGGAACUGGAAAGUGGGGGAUCGCAAGACCUCACGCUUUUGGAGCGGCCGAUAUCAGAUUAGCUUGUUGGUGAGGUAAAGGCUCACCAAGGCGACGAUCUGUAGCUGGUCUGAGAGGAUGAUCAGCCACACUGGGACUGAGACACGGCCCAGACUCCUACGGGAGGCAGCAGUGGGGAAUUUUGGACAAUGGGGGCAACCCUGAUCCAGCCAUUCCGCGUGAGUGAAGAAGGCCUUCGGGUUGUAAAGCUCUUUUGUUCGGGACGAAACGGUUAAGGUUAAUAACCUUGACUAAUGACGGUACCGGAAGAAUAAGCACCGGCUAACUACGUGCCAGCAGCCGCGGUAAUACGUAGGGUGCGAGCGUUAAUCGGAAUUACUGGGCGUAAAGCGUGCGCAGGCGGUUAUGUAAGCCAGAUGUGAAAUCCCCGGGCUCAACCUGGGAAUGGCAUUUGGGACUGCAUAGCUAGAGUAUGGCAGAGGAGACUAGAAUUCCUGGUGUAGCAGUGAAAUGCGUAGAUAUCAGGAGGAAUACCGAUGGCGAA
rnacentral:rRNA from 1 species